UACGAAGGGGGCUAGCGUUGUUCGGAAUUACUGGGCGUAAAGCGCACGUAGGCGGGUUGUUAAGUCAGGGGUGAAAUCCCGGAGCUCAACUCCGGAACUGCCUUUGAUACUGGCAACCUAGAGGCUGGAAGAGGUUAGUGGAAUUCCCAGUGUAGUGGUGAAAUGCGUAGAGAUCCGGAGGAACACCAGUGGCGAAGGCGGCCUUCUGGGCCUUUCCUGACGCUGAGACGCGAAAGCGUGGGGAGCGAACCGG
rnacentral:rRNA from 1 species